rnacentral:lncRNA from 1 species
AAAAACGAAAUAUAUAUAUAUGGAGAGAAGAUUUUUUCUCACUGGGUUAAGAUUGAGAAGAGAACCUUUUUAGAAAGUAGAAAGAGGCUAACCCUUGGGAGGAGAUUUCACAUAAUGUGUGUGGGCUUUGCUUUUAUAGAUGUGCAAGCGCUUUGAGUUCUUAUAGAUAUACAGAGAGAGAGAGAGAGAGAGAGAGAGAGAGAGAGAGAGAGAGGGAGAGAGGGAGAGAGAGAGAAAUACACAUACACACGCAUAAAAUAGAUGUAUUAUAAACUUAAUACUUGUUCAAGUAUGUUUUAAAGAUAGUUGAACCUGUAAAGGAAACAGUGAAGGAAACCAUACAAACUUAAGACAAGUUCAAAUAUAUUCUCAAACAUUUGAACGGAGCUUAAUUUCUUUGUACACAUUGCUCCACAUACAUACAUACAUACAUACAUACAUACAUACAUACAUACAUACAUACAUACAUACAUACAUACAUACAUACAUACAUACAUACAUACAUACAUACACACAUACAUGCAUACAUACAUACGUACGUACACACAUACGUGCACAUAUAGAAUCAUAGUAGAAGAAAGCUGAUACCAUCGAUAAGUGAGUGGGUUUGUGAGUGGUGGGGUUUCUUAGAUUUGCAACAGCUACGCAAAUAACGGAUCAUGCCCUUGCCACUGAUCGGUGCCCGCUCUCAGGUUUCGCUUAAAUCUUUUGUUUCGCUUAAAUAUUCAAAGCAGACUCAUGCACCGAGCUUUCGAUACUCGUCACUCUCACUCCGGCCAUGUUUGUUAUUCUUGCUAAACUUUCAGUAAAUGGCUUUAAAAUUGUGCUAAUAUUUGUAUUUAUUAAGGCGGUGAGCUGGCAGAAAUGUUAGCACGCUGGGCGAAAUGCUUAUCGGUAUUUCGUCUGCUGCCACGUUCUGAGUUCAAAUUCCGCCGAGGUCGACUUUGUCUUUCAUCCUUUCGGGGUCGAUAAAUUAAGCACCAGUAAUGCACUGGUGUCGAUGUAAUCGACUUAAUCCGUUUGUCUGUCCUUGUUUGUCCCCUCUGUGUUUAUCCCCUUGUGGGUAGUAAAGAAAUAGGUAUUUCGUCUACCGUUACGGUCUGAGUUCAAAUUCCGCCGAGGUCGACUUUGCCUUUCAUCCUUUCAGGGUCGAAAAAAUUAAGUACCACUUACGCACUGGGGUCGAUAUAAUCGACUUAAUCCGUUUGUCUGUGCUUGUUUGUCCUCUCUGUGGUUAGCCCCUUGUGGGUAGUAAAGAAAUAGGUAUUUCGUCUGUCGUUACAUUCUGAGUUUAAAUUCCGCCGAGGAAUUUGCCUUUGAUCCUUUCGGGGUCGAUAAGUUAAGUACCAGUUACGUACUGGGGUCGAUCUAACCGGCUGGCCCCCUCAAAAAUUUUGGGCCUUGUGCCAAGAGUGGUGUUCCUGUUGAUCCGAUCGACGGAACAGCCUACUUGUGAAAUUAACAUGAAAGUGGUUGAGUACUCCACGGACAACGUGUACCCUAAAUGAGGGAGAUUCAGCGUGACAUAGAACGUGACAUGGCUGGCCCUUUGAAAUACAGGUACAACUCAUUUUUGCCGGCUGAGUGGACUGGUGCAACGUGAAAAUAAAGCAUGUUGCUCAAGGACACUCAAGCACCGCAAAGUAUCGAACUCAGGAACUUAGGAUUGUGAACCGAAUACCCUAACCACUAAGCCACGCCCCUUCACUAAUUGUAAUUAAUUAGUUAGAAAAACAGCGAAGUGGUGAAAAGUGUCCGAGUAUUUGUCGGUAAGGAAGUAGGAAUGUGGCUGCUAUCGGAAAAAGAAAGUAAAUAUCCCAGAUGUCAGAAUGGUGACAUUCCUAAAGUACCAGACAUGUUAAAAUGGUUGUUCUUGGUGAGAAUGAAACCAUUGAUUACUAUUUUAUAAAGAAAGCAAACAAGCAAAACACAAAGACAAAUGUUUAAGCACCAUUUAUUGAUUGCUACACCUCAAAUGUUGCUUAUUGACUCAGAAUAAAGGAUGUGGGUAAGUGGUAACAACUGCACCAUUUGGUCACAUAAUCUUCACUUUCUCUAAAUCCAUGUCUGCUUUGUUGUAUUUGCGACAGCUUUAAUAUAUCAAUAAAAUGAAGAACGUUCUACGUUGUCGGUCGAUCUUCUAGAAAUAACAGUUGAAGUCUCUCUCAUAGCUUACUGUAGUGUCUUAAAACAGUAACAAUUUAGAAGCAAUGUAGUGUUGGGUAAAAAAAAAUGUAAUGGAAAUUGGCUGUUUGAAGGAAUUUGUCAAUAGAUUUCUAUAUCAAAAAUGAUUUGGGUAGUAAUUACACCAGUACUACCGGUACUAUCACGACGGCUACGACCAUCAACAACAAUACAAGCAAUGGAAAGUGUCAUGACGCUUCGGAUAUUAAUCCUUCAUCAGAAGAAAAAUAUAGAAGUGGAGAGUGUAAAAGUAAAAAAUGUUUGAAUGAGAAAGAAUCAGGAUAAGGGGGUAAGUGCCAGAUAAAAUUUAAGAACGAAGAUGGGGCGGAAGUCAGUGCGCGUGUAGGAAUGUUUUCUUGUAUUGAGAUGGGCACAAGGAGGUCAACGCAAAGUGUUCAAAAAGUUUCCAUCGUUAAGGAGAUCGUGUGCAACUGAAACCCGAGUGUCUUUUUGGUCAGCUGACGAACGUUCUGAGAGACCCGCAGCCAGAAGAACUGAGAAAAACAUCGCAGAUGUGAGUGCAGCUGUGAGGGGAAAUCGUCGAACCACACCCGUGAUUUAUCAGAGGAUGUCUAAUCUGAUAACUCACGGGUGUGGUUCGACGAUUUCCCCUCACAGCUGCACUCACAUCUGCGAUGUUUUUCUCAGUUCUUCUGGCUGCGGGUCUCUCAGAACGUUCGUCAAUAUCGACAUAUUUACGUACACGUUGGAAACGUCUGAACCCCUCGUACACUUCAAAGCGGCUCAUACACUCCUCUCCAUACACUCUCUGCAACUUUGCGCAGGUCUCUGUACUGGUGUCUCUCCAUGACAACUUUCUUUGUCAUGGUCAAUGUGACGAUCACACUCUACGCACGUUCCUUCCAAGCAUUGCUGUGAGCAGCGGAAGUGAGCUAGAUUAUUAAAACUUGGUGUGCAUGCACAGCAGCAUUCAAGGUCAAUCUGUGCCAAGCGGCUUCAAUCUGCGUGCUUUGGUUUCGUUACUAUGACAACAGUUCAGAUACUUAUUGAUAAGACUUCGUAUGUAUGCAUGCAUGUAUGUAUGUAUGUAUGUAUGUAUGUAUGUAUGUAUGUAUGUAUGUAUGUAUGUAUGUAUGUAUGCAUGUAUGUAUGUAUGUAUGCCUGUGUGUAUAUAUGUAUGUAUGUAUGUAUGUAUGUAUGUAUGCAUGUAUGUAUGUAUGUAUGUAUGUAUGCAUGUAUGUAUGUAUGUAUGCCUGUGUGUAUAUAUGUAUGUAUGUAUGUAUGCAUGUAUGUAUGUAUGUAUGUAUGUAUGUAUGCAUGUAUGUAUGUAUGUAUGCCUGUGUGUAUAUAUGUAUGUAUGUAUGUAUGCAUGUAUGUAUGUAUGUAUGUAUGUAUGUAUGUAUGUAUGUAUGUAUGUAUGUAUGUAUGUAUGUAUGUAUGUAUGUAUGUAUGUAUGCAUGCAUUCAUGUAUGUAUGUAUGUAUGUAUGCCUGUGUGUAUAUAUGUAUGUAUGUAUGUAUGUAUGUAUGUAUGUGUGUAUGUAUGUAUGCAUGCAUUCAUGUAUGUAUGUAUGUAUGUAUGUAUGUAUGUAUGCCUGUGUGUAUAUAUGUAUGUAUGUAUGUAUGUAUGUAUGUAUGUAUGUAUGUAUGUAUGUAUGUAUGUAUGUAUGUAUGUAUGUAUGUAUGCAUGUAUGUAUGUAUGUAUGCCUGUGUGUAUAUAUGUAUGUAUGUAUGUAUGUAUGUAUGUAUGCCUGUGUGUAUAUACAACACCUCAGUCGAACAUCAGACGACGGGAAAACUGAACCAUAAUUUUCAUGAAGUGCUUAAUUGUCUACUUUAAGCGCAGUGUGAACCCAAGUGGUUUGAUAUCUUACCUCUGCACCUGCAUUACACGGUUACAAGAUUACAAAACUCAUAGGGAAAAUAUGAGAAAAGUAUACCGUUCAUGCUUUUAUCAAUCAGAUUAGAGUUAUAAAGGAAGGACAACAAUGCAUCUAAUCCGAAUUGCAGUUUUUUCCGGUCAUAAUAGAUAAGAAAUAAUGACGGGUGCAGGGAUUGUUGUGUAGUUAAGAUGUUAUAUUCCCAAGGAUGUGUUUUCAGGUUCGAUGUCAUUAAGCUGCACUUUGGACAACUGUCUUUUUCCAUAACCCCGGGUCGACUAAAUUAGAGGCUGAAAACUGUGAAAGACUAAAUUUAGUCGUAAUUUAACUACACCUGGGUCUUCACUUUAACAGUCCAGACUAUUGCAAUCAAUCUAGGUUUCUAGUCUGACAAUAGCCUCUUUUCUUCCUUCUACUAUGCAUGAAAAGGACCGUGUACUUUCACCUUCUCCCUGUGACAAAACCAGUUAUAAAAUAGGGACCUUAAUGAAGAGCAACGAACAGUCUUGUUUUGGUUUUAGCUAUAAACCUUGAUGUUAAGAUGGCGGAAUCGUAAAUGCAUCAUACAAAAUGCUUAGCGACAUUUCUUCUGGUUUUACGUCCUGAGCACAAAUGCCGCUGAGAUUUUGCUUCAUAUUUUCAGAGUCAAUAGAAUAAACCCCAGUUGAACAACAACCCUUUUCCCCAAAAUUUUAGGCUUUGUGCCUGUAAGCAGAAAGCCAAAAAUGUUUUCAUGGCGAACGGGUAAAAUCUUUGGCGCGUCAGACAAAAAUGCCAUUCAACAAGUCUUCUGGCUCUUUACGUUCUAAAUUCCUACCAUACCGCAAUUAAACUUGCUUUUAAUCUUUCACGGGGUCGAUAAGAUAAAGGACCAUCAAGUACUGGGCUCGUAGCAAUCGACCAAUACUCCCACGAAAAUUGCUCGUGUUAUCUUAAGAAAUAAGGCAAGAUUUUGAAAAGUAUUCUCAUGGGGGCGG